CCCAGUGAUGGCACAUCUUUGAGACCUGAGAAUUUUCUUCCUUGAUGAAAAUCAUAAGCAUAAUCGCUGAGGGC
rfam:Triticum urartu cultivar G1812 contig1001553, whole genome shotgun sequence.